rnacentral:lncRNA from 1 species
GGAAGCCCCUACCUACCUACCCAAGGGAGAAAGAGACUUGCUCCACCCUCCUGACCCUGAAGACCUCCACUCCUUGGUCAUGGUUCUUUCUGUGCUGCCUCUGGCUAUGCCGAGGAAGAUGUGGGUUCUGGUCUUCAGGAAGGCUGGAGGGUAAGUCUAGAAGCAUUGAUCUUUGGGACGUCUUUCUAACUUGGAUAGUUUGUAGAGUUAUGCUCCUAGGAAAAGCUGAUAUUGAUUUCUGGGUACUCCUGCUCAGAAAGAAUCUGGGAUGAAUCCACUCUGUCCCCUGCAGCUUUCUAUUUGGAUGCAUUUAACUUUAAUUGCCUUUUGUUCAUUUAGUUGAUCAAUAUCGUCUCCAGUGUGCCAAGUCCCAUGCAAGACCAAAUGGAGAAGAGAAGGGAAUCAGAGAGCUUCUGUCCUCAUGGAGUCAAGCCUAUAGGAGAGGCAGACUGUGUACAAAUACAGCUAUGAUGAAAAGUUAUCAAGGUUAACACUUGCUAGAGAAUAAGCAGCUCUACGAAGGUCCAGGAGAGCUCGUCUGUAUUCUGAAGGCAACCAAGAUCCGUUAGAGGAUUUCAAACAGUGCAAUGACACGAUUCGGUCAGACGAAGACUGAGGGAAGCUUUGGAACAACGUGGCAUUUCACUGGGGACUGGAGGAGGGGGAUGAGGUUUUUAUAGCUGGUGAGGGAGUAGGGGGAGGGCAUUCCAGAAGGAAAGAAUGAUGGGAGCAGAGGCCCAGAUGUGGGAAAGCACGUUCUUUUGGCCUGGCAUUUGCUCCUCCCCUUUCUCCUGCCAUGCACCUGGAAAACGCUACAUCUUUCCAGACUCUGCUCAGGUGCCACCUUUUUGUCAUGCAGUUUCUGACCUCCACUACCUGGGAUAGCUGGAAGCUCCUCACUCAUUUCCAUGAGUCUGGAGUCAGAAAGUUCUUGCUGUCCACUGAAUGUCCGAGGACCUCAUUAUCUACUGCUAAUCUGACCUGCUCUGGAGAAGCUAACAGCAGUGGCCCACAGGCUGGACUGAUGCCGAGACUGUCGUCACAGUGAUCAGAAUAGCCACCUGCUCCCGCCACCCAGAACUCAGCUUCACCAGUUUUCCAUGAGGGUACCAAGCCUGCUGUGAUUACUGUAGGAGCUGAACUGCCCAUCUUGGAGUCACCAAAUAUGAAAAGGGAUCUUUCUGAAGACGAAGCCAGAUGAUCAGUAUAAGAGAAUUCCUGCAAGUGUUCUUACACUCCGGUGAAACUCACCAUGCUCUGUACCAAAAACGAUCCCUUUUGGGUGUGUAGCAUGGGGGCGUGUGCAGUGUGCUCUGAGGAGCAGAGAGGACACGGCAUUGGGCUGCAAAGGAUCUCAGAGAGGGUCCCCUGGACUAGCCCACACUUCUGAAGCUUUCAUGUGUAUGUGAAUCUGUUCA